GACGCUAAUACCGCAUACGUCCUACGGGAGAAAGCAGGGGACCUUCGGGCCUUGCGCUAUCAGAUGAGCCUAGGUCGGAUUAGCUAGUUGGUGGGGUAAUGGCUCACCAAGGCGACGAUCCGUAACUGGUCUGAGAGGAUGAUCAGUCACACUGGAACUGAGACACGGUCCAGACUCCUACGGGAGGCAGCAGUGGGGAAUAUUGGACAAUGGGCGAAAGCCUGAUCCAGCCAUGCCGCGUGUGUGAAGAAGGUCUUCGGAUUGUAAAGCACUUUAAGUUGGGAGGAAGGGCAGUAAAUUAAUACUUUGCUGUUUUGACGUUACCGACAGAAUAAGCACCGGCUAACUCUGUGCCAGCAGCCGCGGUAAUACAGAGGGUGCAAGCGUUAAUCGGAAUUACUGGGCGUAAAGCGCGCGUAGGUGGUUCGUUAAUUGGAUGUGAAAUCCCCGGGCUCAACCUGGGAACUGCAUUCAAAACUGACGAGCUAGAGUAUGGUAGAGGGUGGUGGAAUUUUCCUGUGUAUCGGUGAAAUGC
rnacentral:rRNA from 1 species